UUUUCUUUAAUUUAUUUAAAUAAUUAUAAAAAAUAAUUUUUAAAAAACCACAAAUUGAGCAGUCUUUAAAUAUUGUGCAGAAUAAACACCAAACUAAAAAAAUAUUGGUAUUUUUAUUUUUGAAAUCUGACAUUCACAGCGGCUGUAAGGUUCGCCGGCCAGAGAGGAAGAGGGAAAAAGGGGAGUGAUAAGCAGCAACGCUGGUUUUAAGUGUUCCCCGAUGUGGGAUUCAUCAGUGAGGGCUGUUAGAUGCCGAAAAAAGAGAAGAAAGGUGGGCGAUAGAUCUAAUGGUUGUCUGACGGUGAUGGCGGCGUUCGCAUUUAGUGCGCCAGUUGGUGGUUCCAACUGAUUUUGGGGUGAAGGCUGACUGGCUGCGGCGUGGAAGGGAAAAGGGAUUUUUUGGAGGUUUGACCAGGCAGCCCACUGGGUUGGUUACCGACGGAUUUCGCUGGUGGUAUUGGUGACGGGAAAAGAGGCAAACAAAGGUGCUAGUGGCUGGGGUGUUUGCCAGAUUCCAUGGUUGAACGACAACUCCGGAGAAACACUUCGCCGGAAAAAAUGGAAGAAACUAUUUGGCCACUUCUCUGUUCACUGAUUUUUCUCUUAAUUUUUCUCCCUCUGUUUACCCUCUCUCUCUUCUUUUCUCUCCAUUUUCUAUUUUUCAGUGAAGUGUUGGUGUGUGCAAUCUGUAGUGUAUUUGCGUUUUAGUGUGUUUACUCGUGUAUUUGCUGAGUUUAUUUUUAUCUCUCCAAUUUGUACAUCAGUACGUGAGUAUGUGCUGUUGUUUGUGCAGUGUACAUAUCAGUAUAUGUGAUAUAUGAAUUGGCAAAUUACUGUGUAAACAUUUUUUUUAUUUAUGUACAGAUGAAAAACUAAACGCUUUACUACGUAUUAUCAUUUAUUUUCACUGUUGUCAAUAUUCAUAAGAUACAUAUACUACAACAAACUCACAUAAUAACAAUUCAUCAAAUAACUAAAAAUAAUUUUUUGUUAAUUCAUAACAAAAACAGAGAGAAUAAAAAUACAAGAUUGAAUGAAAAAAGAAACCUGUGAUUGGUUGAACUGAACAAUAAAUUGAGAAAUAAUCGUCACCGAAAACUUUGAACAGAACUCCAACUUCAACUUUCUUCUUUUGUCUCUUUUGUCUGAUGUUUUUGUUCUGAUUUUCCUGAUAGUUGUUGUCUAAUACAGUAUGUAGGAAUAGAAUGUACAUAGUUUUUUUAGAUUCUAUUUUUAUUCCAAAAGAGGAUAUGAAAGAAAAUAAAAUAAAAACUCAAAGAGUGUACAAAGGAUGACACAACAUUUGAAUAGAAGAAUAAAAUGCCUUCGUCAUAUCAAUCUUUAAAAAUACAAGAACAUAACAUGUAAUCUGAGGGUGAAACAUGAGAUCAUACAUAUCUUUUCAACAUUAACCUUCACUAAGAACGUGCACAUGUAUCACUUUUUUCAUGCUUAUGAAACAUACAAGUCCAUUUGUGUUGUACUUUCUCCAUACGGAUAACUUAUGUCUCUUUGGGAGCUAACUUUCUUUCAAUUUUCCUGACAAUGGAGAUUAUAUAUACUCUGACUGGUCCCAUUAAAAAUGCUUUAAUUAGAUCUUCUAAUUGAUGAUCAAGUUAUUUUUGAUUUGCAAAGUGAUUGCCACAGUUUCAUCUAUAUUGGGAUUUGACUUAUUCUCAAACUAUUUGAAAUUUUUUGCUUAUAUCUUCAAAUGCUUCCUCUUCACCGUAUUCAACCUCUUUAUUCAUUAUUUCAUAAUUAGAUUGGGUUUUAAAAUCUGAUUGAUAAUUCUUCAUGCAUGUCAUAUCAUUAGAAUUGACAUAGAAAGAACUGUAUAAUAGAAAAUAAAUAAGUAAAUAUUAGACACAAAAUAAAACAAAGGGAAAUUAUGUUUCAUUAAAAACAAAGAUAGACAAAGUUUUAACCUAAAUUACUAAGAUUAAAAAUUUGAAUUACAAACCCUAGAACGAUUCAAAUUGCAGAAAGACAAACAAACAAACUACCAAGACUCCUUCAUAGUAGGGAGAGGAGUGACCUCCAAAUUGUUAAGCUUGACAUCUUAGCCACUAGUUUGCAUAUCAGCAUGACUAGAAUUUCCACCACUGUCCAACACAUUUUCUUCAAAAUAUAAGUUCUGGAUCCCCAUGCUUAAUCAAUUGUUUCUCACGUAUUGUACAUUAUUGUGUAUUGGUGAAGGAUUUUGUGUGAUGCUCGUAGUGUCUAUAUUUUGCACUAUAUUCAAUUUUUCUUGAAUCAUCCUUUCUAUUUCACUUUUCAAAGCACUAAAAUACUCAAUACUUUGACCCUAAAUAUCAGAAUGAUAUGCACACCGUACAUAAGGAUAAAAAUUUCUUGAAUACGGAUCAGGAUUAUACUCAAGGAGGGGAGUGAUUAUGCUAGACUUUCUCAAUCUCUAGAAUAAACUGGCAUACGACUCCUCAAUUGGUGUAAAAUUAUUCUUUGCUUUCUCCUCUUUGCAAACUCCAGCCUCGAUUGAAACUUGGACUUAGAAAUUCCUUGAUAAAUAUGUAGGGGUCGAGGAUGAUGUUGGGGAUCGGUGCAUGCCAUUGUAGAUAAGAAAAUGAAUGAGCAUACAAUUGUGCAUUGUUCAAAGGAUACUGAGGAAGUGGAACGAAAUAUCUUGGAUUUUGCAAAGAGUAACCUUGUUGUAGGUGAGUAUGUGAAUUUGAUGUACAAGCUCAGAAUUGAGACUGACAAUAUUUCUAAGUUGGACCUCUUGAGUUCUGCUUUGCCCUUGUAAUGACAAUAGGUAUGUUUUCCUUCUUCUUCUCUCCAGUCUCUCUCAACUGAUGGCAAUAUCAUCCAAAGUAUUUUAUAGAAUCCUCGUACAUGCCCCAAUCCUUAUAUGUAACAUCUUCAUAAUUCACAAUUCCCAGAAAACUUUUCAUAGACUUUUCUGUGCUCUUUAUUUUCCUAGCCAUUUUCUCUUGUUCUUCUACCAUGUAAAACUUCUUAGUAAGAAAUUUUGAUGGUCCAAUUAACAUAGAUGUGGGCUCUAUAGUAUAAUAGUAAUCAUCAUGAGUGUUGAACAUAGACUUACUAGUAGAUUAGGGAGGCACAAUCACCAGAUCAAAAGCCAAGGUGGAAGCCUUAGUAGAGGUUUGGGCAAUAGAAGUAGAGACUGUAGGUGGUGCUAUCAAUAUGGUAUAUUUAUACUGAAGAUCUAGAGAAUAAGUGGUGGAAACAUUGGGAUCCUUUUGGCUUGGAGUAGAUUCUGAGGCAUGUUGUGGCACAGAACCAACUGUAGAAAACUGACCUUGCAAUUUUGGUGAAAGACUCAAGGUAUUUGUACGGUCAAUAGUGGAAAAUAGAGGAGGAGGUAUCCCACUGGCCCAAGCUCGAUACAUUUCCAGUAUUUUUUUGCCUAAAACUCACAAUCUCUUGCUUUAAAAUCUCAUUUUCCUGACUCUUUGUCUGAUCUAUGAUGUCACUCUCCAUAUUCUUGCUGGACAUGACUCUCUUUCCUGGACUUGCUAUAAUAUGGAGGACCAGUCAAAAUGCCACAAACCACCCACCUUACUAUUGUGCAAGAAUUAACAAAUAUGUUAGAAUGCAACACUUUUUCAAAACCUCCUUUUUUUUUAUCUUCUUUUUGAAAAAAUCAUCGAAUCCUAGAAAGGCGCCUAUGUAUCUCACCAAGGUGAGAAUCAGACGUGCGUAGUUCGUGAAGCUGGAGAUAUGAAGAAAAAUAUUUUUCUUUUAAUUUGAGAAAUGAUAAAGAUUUUUAUUUUUUUGAAUUUAUUAAUAAUGAUAAAACACAUUUUUAUUUUUGAAAAUAAAUUAGUUUAUUUUUAUAUACAGAUAUAAAAAAACUCUAUUUUUUAUUUGUUUAGAAGGAAACACAAAUAUAUUUUUUUCUUUAAAAUCACCAAAACCAUGAAGGACUUGCCUACGUAUCUCAUCAAUGUGAGAAUCGGGUGAGCAUAGUUCUUGAAGCUGGAGAUAUGAAGAAACAUAUUUUUCUUUUAAUUUGAGAAAUGAGAAAGAUUUCUUUUUUUUUUUUUUAAUAAUGAUAAAACACAUUUUUAUUUCUGAAAAUAAAUUAAUUUAUUUUUUUACAUACAGAUAAAAAAACUCUAUUCUUUAUUUGUUUAGAAGGAAACACAAACAUAUAUUUAUUUUUCUUUAAAAUCACCGAAUCCAUGAAGGACUGCCUACGUUUCUCAUCAAUGUGAGAAUCAGGUAUGCGUAGUUCUUGAAAUAUAUGUCGUACAAAACUUAGCCUCAAGACCUUUAAAGGUUCAAGGCAGUUAAGAUUUAUAUUUAUUUUUUAUUUUAUAAAAACUUAGCCUCAUUAUCCCUAAAGAUUCAGGGCUAUUAAGAUAUAUAUAAAAAUUAGAUUUUACAAUUAGAAAAAUAAUUAUGAAAGUAAUCCUAUUUUCAAAAUAUUUCCUAAUAAUUCUAUGAACAAUUUUUCAAAAGAUAGGGCCGUAUUGUGAGAAGGACUUCCUACGUAUCCCACUAAGAUGUGAGAAUCAGACCCUCGUAGUUGAUGAAGACCGUAAAAACUAUGUUACUAUACAUUUAAAAUUUAUCUAUCUUUUAAAAAUAAAAUUUUUCUUUGAAAAAUGAUUCACUAAAUAUAAUCUCUUGAAUUUCAAAGUUGCCUAAAAUCCGGUCAACAAUCAAAUAGCUGCUGCCACCCAUGUUUUCCUCCUUUCCCGUCACCAGCACCACUGGUGAAACCUGCAGGUAACCAACCCAGUGGGCUGCCGGGUCAAACUGCCAGAAAACCUAUUUUUCCCUUCCACGCCGUCGCCAGUUGACCUUUACCCCAAACCAGUUGGCACCACCAACUGGCACACCAAGCACCGACGCCGCCAUCACCGGUGGACAACCAUUAGAUCUGUCGUUCCUCUUUCUUUCCUCUUUACAGCAUCUAACAGCCCUCACCAGCGAAUCCCACGUCGAGAAAUGCUUAAAACCAACGUUGUUGCUUACCAUUCCUCUUUUUUCCCUCUUCGUCCUUCCCCUCCCUCUCCGGUUGGAGAACCUCACAGCCGCUGUGAAUGCCGGAUUUUGAAAAUAAAAAGACCAGCAUUUUUUAGUUUGGUGUUUAUUCUGCACAAUAUUUAAAGACUUCUUAAUUUGUGGUUGUUUAAAAAUUAUUUUUUUUAUCAUUAUUUAAAUAUAUUAAUGAAAAGAAUUUUUUUAAGUGAUUUUUGGAUUUGUAUUAAUUUAAGAAACUAAAUCGGGGUCAUAGUAAAUUUUAGAAUAAUAAGAGUAGUUUUGUGUAUUUUUUUAUUUUAUUAUGUUUAUUAUUAUUUUUCUAAUUAUUUGAUAAAAUUAAUCAAUCACUUUGAACAAUUUUUUUUUAGAGUAAAUAGUAUUUAGAACGGAUAAAUUAUUAUGAUUUUAUAAAAGAAAAAUCAAUGUCUUUAACGCUAAAUAAAUUUUUAUACGCGUUCUAAAUAUUCGUCUCAAUUAAGAAUGCGGCGUAUACAUCUUUUUGAGACAUUCAAAAUUUCAAGGAUGCAAUAAUGUACCUUGACAAAUAUUUUCUAAAACUAACCUUCACUGAUUUAUUUAAUAUAAGAUAAUAGACAAUUCUUAGUAUAAUAAAAAUGAGCAAUUUGAGGUCUUAACAUAAUUUAUCAAAAUAGUUUAAGUCAAGUAUAAGUCGAUAAAAGCGGCCGUGCUAGAACCACAGAACUCGAGGGGUGCCUCACACCUUUAACUCGGUUAACAGAAUUCCUUACCCGAUCUUCUAUUUAUGCAGACCAAAUAAGAGUCAUUUCUUUUUUAUUAGGGAUUCAAAAAGGUGACUUGGAACACCAUAACACAAUUCCAAGUGACAACUCUGUAAUUAAAAUAAUUCCUAUUCAAUAUCAUCACUUUAAUUGGGAAAACCCUUCGACUUUGACCCUCAGGCAAAAAAAGUGUGUGACAUCUCUACCGUGGUUCUAGCACGUUCGCUUUUAUUGACUUUUCUUGAUCUAAACUAUUUUGAAUAGAUUAUGUUAAGGCCUAAAUUCGAUCAUUUUUAUUGUACUAAAAAUAUCUGUCUACAUCUUUUAUAUUAAGCAAAUAGAUGUAAGUUAAUCUUAGAAAAAUAUUUGCCAAGGUGCAUUUAUUCCAUCCUUCAAUUUUAAAAUAUCUCAGAAAGAUGUGUGCGCCACAUUCUUAAUUGAGAUGAAUAUUUUAAAUAUGCCUAAAAUUUGCCUAAAACGUUAAAACAUUAAUUUAUUUUUUGUAGCAAAUUGUAACAAUUUAUCUGUUCAAAAAGCUAUUUAACCUUAACAAAAUUCUAAGUAAAAUCCAAUUUAGGUAAUUAAUUCAAUAAAUAAUUAAAUUUUAUUAAUAAUAAUAAAAUAAUAAAAUAAUAAAAUAAUAAAAUAAACAAAUUAAUAAAUAAAUAAAAUGAUAAAAAAUAUAAAUAUAAAUAAAGUUACCACUCAAUUUUUAAAAAGCAAAAAAAAUAUUCCAUUUAUUAUUUUUUUAAACAGAUGUAGCAUAAAUUAGUAUGUGCGUAAUUUUUGGGCUUGUUGACCGGAGAGGAGGGAGCGACAACCAUGGAGGCUUCACCGAAAAAGGGAAAAAGAAGAGAAAGGAAAAAAAGGUUUGGUUUGGUGCAAUUUCCGAUGUGGGAUCACCAGUUGAAGGGGUGGUUUGGUCGGCGUUUUCGCCGUUGGAGGUGUCGCCGGCGAUGGUUUGGCGGACAGAAAGUGUUAAAAGGGAAGAGAUGGGGUAAGAGGCGGCGACAAAUCUUGUUUUGGGGGUUGUUACCGGCAGUGACAUGAUCGGAACAACCCGCUGAGUUGUUGUUGCGCUCUGUCGGAAAUCCAGCAAACUCGGACAACAAUAGCAAUUAUUUGUUCGCCGGUGUAGACGUUAUUUCUGGCGAAAUUUCGCCACAAAAAUAUGGACCAAGGCUGUCCUUCCCCUUUUUUUAUCUAAUUUUUACUCACUUGUGCUGCUAACUCGUUUUUCUUACUUCUUUUUUUCUUUUAAAAGUUUUCUAUAAUAUUUUAAUAUCUACAUAUGUCUAUUACUGCUAAUGGAGUGCAUGAGUUUUAGUCAAUAGGAGAAAUGAAAGUUUGUUAGUGUGUGAAUAAAAUUGUAUGAUUGUGCAGAUAUGUAUAAAUGGUGUGUAUAUUUAUACUCAGUUUUAAUCAUGCACAGAUGAAAACUAAAACUAAAUGUUUGACUGCGUACUUAUCAAUUUUUCU
rnacentral:lncRNA from 1 species